UGAUGAUGAUGAUGAUGAUGAUGAUGAUGAUGAUGAUGACGGUGUCGCUGACGAUGACGUCAUGAUCAUCAUCAUAAUCAUCACCAUGAUCA
rnacentral:pre_miRNA from 1 species